rnacentral:rRNA from 1 species
AUACGGAGGGUGCAAGCGUUACUCGGAAUCACUGGGCGUAAAGCGCGCGCAGGCGGCCAUUUAAGUUGGAUGUGAAAGUCUACGGCUCAACCGUAGAACUGCAUCCAAAACUAUUUGGCUAGAGUGUGGGAGAGGAAGAUGGAAUUAGUUGUGUAGGGGUAAAAUCCGUAGAGAUAACUAGGAAUACCAAAAGCGAAGGCAAUCUUCUGGAACACUACUGACGCUGAGGCGCGAAAGCGUGGGGAGCAAACGGGAUUAGAUACCCUAGUAGUCC